rnacentral:misc_RNA from 1 species
CGCCAGUCUGUCUAAUCUACAAACGGUAGCCGGCCAUAUAGCUACAGCGUAAAAAAAAAUCGCGGGUUGGUUUAGUUAUACAUAACCUAACAUUUAUGUUGUGAACUACGAAGUAAAAAUAUAAGGUGGGAGUUUAGUUUGCCAUGUUUUUAUUUAUAGUAAUUGAAAAUGUUUCUAAUGUGUUGGUUUUUUAUUUGGUUUGAAUUUUAAUAGAUUGUGUUAGAGGAACUGAAGGGCAAUCUUCAAUCUGUUAUGUAGGCAUACGACAAAUGAGGUGAACGACAAAUUGGUCUGCAUUCCUACAGAAGAUUGACGUGUUCUCCAAACAAGAGUGGCUACUAUGUAAUCAUAGUAUCAGCAGCUUUUUCUGGCCAGAAAUGGAAUGUUUGGAGGGUUGGCAGUAGAUGAAAACAUAAAAACUACUUCUUGCUAAAACUGUGCAUAUAAAUAAUUUUUAAAUAUAUCAGAGAAUAUUUUCUGUUA